rnacentral:rRNA from 1 species
AUUGAACGCUGGCGGCAUGCCUUACACAUGCAAGUCGAACGGCAGCACGGGAGCAAUCCUGGUGGCGAGUGGCGAACGGGUGAGUAAUGUAUCGGAACGUGCCCAGUCGUGGGGGAUAACGUAGCGAAAGCUACGCUAAUACCGCAUACGAUCUAUGGAUGAAAGCGGGGGAUCGCAAGACCUCGCGCGAUUGGAGCCGCCGAUAUCAGCGUAGGUAGUUGGUGGGGUAAAGGCUCACCAAGCCGACGAUCUGUAGCUGGUCUGAGAGGACGACCAGCCACACUGGGACUGAGACACGGCCCAGACUCCUGCGGGAGGCAUCAGUGGGGAAUGUUGGACAAUGGGCGCAAGCCUGAUCCAGCAAUGCCGCGUGCAGGAUGAAGGCCUUCGGGUUGUAAACUGCUUUUGUACGGAACGAAACGGCGAGCUCUAAUACAGUUUGCUAAUGACGGUACCGUAAGAAUAAGCACCGGCUAACUACGUGCCAGCCGCCGCAGUAA